rnacentral:rRNA from 1 species
GUAGGUGAACCUGCGGAAGGAUCAUUAUUGAGUUUACACCCUUGGGAAGGUUGUCGGCUGGCCGCUCUUUAAAGGCAAUGUGCACACCUGUCUCUUGGACUAUACUACUUGACUAUCCUCCUGUGCAUUUCUUGUGGUUUCUCUGCUUUCUGCCCUCUGGGUGGUGAUCAGAAGUGGCCAUGCCCUCAUUUUGUGGACGAGUGUAAUUGAGUGUGCUUGUAAAUUAGUAUCUUUAUACAACUUUCAGCAACGGAUCUCUUGGCUCUCGCAUCGAUGAAGAACGCAGCGAAAUGCGAUAAGUAAUGUGAAUUGCAGAAUUCAGUGAAUCAUCGAAUCUUUGAACGCACCUUGCACUCCUUGGUAUUCUGAGGAGUACGCCUGUUUGAGUGUCAGUUGAAUCGUAACGCACUUGGGAGUUGUUAUGAUUCCCAGGAGGCUGUCUUGAAGUGGGGAGUGCUUGCCUUUUCAUGCCUUUCAUGUUUGUCUGUCAGGUAGUUGAGCCGUUCCUUUUGGUUCUGUGCACACCCUGUUGCGGGCCCUGUCUUGCAUGUUGUUGGGUAGGCUUCUCUGAAAUGCAUUUGUGAGUGUUGCUCGCGGCUUGCUUUGUAGGUGUCAUAUUUGUUUAUGCGCCGGUGAGUCUGCUUGAGUGACCUUGCUGUCUAACCGAUGUCUGAAGGGGCAUUUUGGUGAGUUUGACCUCAAAUCA